GACGAACGCUGGCGGCGUGCCUAACACAUGCAAGUCGAACGGACAGGCGCGGAGCUUGCGGGGUGCUCGAGUGGCGAACGGGGGAGUGACACGUGAGUAAAAUGUCCUUAACAGUGGGAUAAAUCCAGGAAAAUCGGGCUAAUACACGAUAUGAGCUCCUGAUGCACGGGGGGGAUUGGAAAGUUGCGGCGGUUGGGGAUGGUCUCGCGGGUUAUCGGCUUGAUGGGCGGGUAGGUGAUUACCAAGGCUUUGAAGGGUAGCCGGCCUGGGAGGGUGACCGGCCACAUUGGGACUGAGAUACGGCCCAGACUCCUACGGGAGGCAGCAGUGGAGAGUCUUGCACAGUGGGCGGACGCCAGAUGCAGCAACGCCGCGUUCGGGAUGCCGGGUUUCGGGUUGUAAACCAAUUUCGCCUUAGCCGAGGCGUGAGUGACGGUACCUGGUAAAGAAGCACCGGCUAACUACGUG
rnacentral:rRNA from 1 species